rnacentral:lncRNA from 1 species
GGGAGGAGAGGGAGUGGGCACAAAUUGGACAGGAGAGAUGGGAGAGGGCAAGGUCAUGGUCAAUAGAGAGGGGAGCGGUCAGAGCUCGUUGAGAAGUUUCAAAAAGAAGGUAAGAGAGGUUGUAGAGAGAGCUCCACCAAGCAUCGUAGGCAUGAGGUGUAUAGACCAGAUGUGGUUCGAGUUCAGAAGAAAGAAGAUGGUGGCAGUGGAGGAAGAGAAAAAUUGGCAGGGGUGAGGGGGGAGGAGGAGAAGAGGAUGAACUUGCAUCAUCCCCAUCUUCAAAGUAGGACAAGCGGUCACGACGGUGUUUGUGGCUGCUAUGGAGGGAGGAGGCAUAGCAGAGGACAGAGGUGAUGGUGAAGAGGGGGGGC